rnacentral:rRNA from 1 species
GAUUAACGCUGGCGGCGUGCAUAACACAUGCAAGUCGAACGAUGAAACUUUAAUGAACCCUUCGGGGAGAAUUAAAGCGGAUUAGUGGCGAACGGGUGAGUAACGCGUGAGUAACCUGCCUUACACAAGGGGAUAGCCUUUGGAAACGAAGAAUAAUACCCUAUAAAACCAUAAAAGCACAUGCAAUUAUGGUCAAAGUGAUAGCGGUGUAAGAUGGACUUGCGUCUGAUUAGCUAGUUGGUGAGAUAAAAGCCCACCAAGGCAACGAUCAGUAGCCGGCUUGAGAGAGUGUACGGCCACAUUGGGAAUGAGACACGGCCCAGACUCCUACGGGAGGCAGCAGUGGGGAAUUUUGCACAAUGGGGGAAACCCUGAUGCAGCGACGCCGCGUGAUUUAGAAGGCCUUCGGGUUGUAAAAAUCUUUUGUAUAGGAAGAAAAUGACAGUACUAUACGAAUAAGGUCCGGCUAAUUACGUG